rnacentral:rRNA from 1 species
UUAGGAAUCUUCCACAAUGGGCGAAAGCCUGAUGGAGCGACGCCGCGUGAGGGAUGAAGGCCUUAGGGUUGUAAACCUCUAAAAGAGGGACGAUAAUGACGGUACCUCUUGAAUAGCACCGGCUAACUCCGUGCCAGCAGCAGCGGUAAUACGGAGGGUGCAAGCGUUAUCCGGAAUCACUGGGCGUAAAGGGCGCGUAGGCGGUCUGUUAAGUCCUAUGUUAAAUCCCGGGGCUCAACCCCGGAUAAGCGUUGGAUACUGGCAGGCUAGACGGUUGGAGAGGCGAGUGGAAUUACCAGUGUAGCGGUGGAAUGCGUAGAUACUGGUAGGAACACCCAUUGCGAAGGCAGCUCGCUGGACAACACGUGACGCUGAGGCGCGAAAGUGUGGGGAGCAAACC